rnacentral:lncRNA from 1 species
UCCUGGCGUCAGCUUCCGGCCGCCUGGAUGCCCGCAUGAUAUUACCUUAGGAAUGUUUUGUAGUAGCCUUUCAUCGAUCCUUCGCAUCUGCGGUUCACUGCUAAAGCUGGUAAUGGUGCGAAAUCCAGACCAAAGCUGUACCCAAACUAUUUCUACUUAAUCACAGCAGCAAGACCCAACCAAACCAACCACUCAGCGUUUUUAACCAAAUCGAUCUAAACUGAUACAAAAUCCUCGAGUCAGUGAGGAUUUUGUUAUUACUGU